CGGUUGAUCGUUUUAACAAA
rnacentral:misc_RNA from 1 species